rnacentral:rRNA from 1 species
UACAGAGGUCUCAAGCGUUGUUCGGAUUCAUUGGGCGUAAAGGGUGCGUAGGCGGCGCGGUAAGUCGGGUGUGAAAUCUCGGAGCUUAACUCCGAAACUGCAUUCGAUACUGCCGUGCUUGAGGACUGGAGAGGAGACUGGAAUUACGGUGUAGCGGUGAAAUGCGUAGAUAUCGGAUAAGGAAGACCGAGUGGAGCGGA